AUAUUCCAGAAACCCGAUGCUGGCUCCCUCAUUUUCCAUAGACCUCAUCUUCAGUCCCUAAAGAAGAAAACGGUGACAAGAAAUCGGAAGUCCAAUGCAGUCUGUACUCUUCAUGGAUGAACUUCUCAUGUUAAGUGCAAGUAUUUAUAUGGUACAUGUCUGACAAAGGAAGCCUUCCUACAAUCAUUACUGAUUGGACAGCUCCUAUAGACAGCAUCAGUUUAUAAGUGUUUCCUUUCUGAUACACGUUACAGAAUACUGUAAAGAAAUUAUGAAAAUUAUAUUGAACAAAUCAAGAAGUGGUUCAAGUUUUUGAAAACCUCAAUUUAAAGUUUACAUAUUUUCAAAGUUGAAUAAUUUUACACUGGGGUGGGAAGUGAAGUAUAAAUAAACAUUUGCUUAAAGGUACUGAGUUGUGAUAAUUUUUCAUGGAAUGAGACUGUCAGGCAGUAGCAGUUAAAUUAAUAUAUACUGUACUUAAAAAAUUAAACACUUGAGAAAUAACCUUUUUAGCCACUGGAAAAUGGCAAAGUCUAAGACAUUUCAAUCAAGUUAAUUUGGGUAUUAGAGAAAUGCAUUUUCCCACCAGAAACUAUGUGAAGAAACAAAUUAAACAAAAUGGCCCUCCGGAUGCUCGGGUAGCCCUGGGCGAGGAGCGGCACCAUUGCUUGUCAAUUAGGUUAUUAUACACACACAUUCCCUCAUUUUAAAUCACGCCAAAGCUGAACGGUUGAAGGUAUAUCAAAAUGAAGCAUGACUUGCAAUUUAAAUGGUUUUUUGUUUCUUUGUUUUAACUUUCUUUUUACUCCUGGACAAAGGGUCCUGCUGGGUUUCUCAGGUUGGGCUGUCUAAUUUCUUAGCUCCAAAGAGCCUCCUGCCUCAGUCCCCUGCACAACAGCUGAGACUACAGGCUUGAACCCACUGUAGUAGCUUGAACCCACUGUAGCUUGAACCCACUGUAGCUUGAACCCACUGUAGUAGCUUGAACCCACUGUAGUAGCUUGAACCCACUGUAGUAGCUUGAACCCACUGUAGUAGCUUGAACCCACUGUAGUAGCUUGAACCCACUGUAGUAGCUUGAACCCACUGUAGUAGGCUCAGAGUUUCUCUUUAACAAGCACUAACCUAGAGCAACUAGUCUAAUUCAGCUAUGUGUUCUAGGAUCUUUCCCUAGCUCACCCUGGCAUGCUAAAGUUCCUAGAACAAAAGUUCCUGAGCAGUCUUGGAAGUAGAAGAAGAGGCCAGGAGAACACUUUAACCAGCUCUGAAGUUACCUCAAAGACACCAGCAUGGAGACAGAUCAGUUUUUCUGGCCACACUAGCUGCAGGGCUCAGGCCCAGACUUCCCAAGGCAGGACAGUGGCAAUUUGGACAGGUUACUUAACUCCCUCACCCCACCCCAACUUCCGUUUCUUUUACUUGUCAAGGUCUAGCCUUGGACUGGGUCCCCAACAAAUAUGCAACAGACCCUGAGAGCUGCUCACAGCCCCACUACACUGCAGAAGGCAGGGAAGGCAGGCAGGCUGUCCUUUUGCUUUUGUUUUCAACAACACCUUGAGACUAAGAAACAACAGAAGUAACUUUAGGAUUGCCGUAGGAGCUGAGUGUUUCUGUUAAAUUAUUUAUUUUAUUUAUAUGAGUACACUGUCACUGACACAUCAGAAAAGGGCAUCAAAUACCAUUACAGAUGGUUGAGAUGAUGUGGUUGCUGGGAAUUGAACUCAGGGCCUCUGGAAGAGCAGUCAGUGCUCUUAACCACUGAGCCCUCUCUCCAGCAUGGAGCUGAGUUUUUAAGGGCUAGGUUAAAGCCCUUCAUCUAAAACCACCGAAUGUAGGCAGGCACAGGAGACCCGGUGACUUCAGUUUGGGCACAUAAAAUUUUCUACUAAAGAGAAAAUUCCUCUGACACCAGAGGGGGCAACUUUUUAAAAUAAGCAAUGUUAUAUAGAUCAGUAAUAUUUGAUUAGAUACUUCCUUAUAGUUGACCAGGCUCCAACAAGAAAGAUGAGUAGCAAAUCAGAAACACCACCAAAUGGGAAGUAGAUCUAACAUCCUGUUGCCUCUUGGUACAUUCUAUUGCCUGUUCAAAAUGGAGUCUCAUAAAGUCAGGUUACCUUGAAAUUCUUACAUUGAAAUGUUGGAAUUUAUAAUCAUGAGCCACCAAAUCUAACUUAGUAUCUUUUUCUCCUACAUGCUCAGUGGGCAAGAGCUUGUUGCUCUUGCAGAGGACCAGCACCCACAUGGUGGCUCACAACUGUCUGUAACUCCAAUUACUGGGGAUCUGACGCCCUCUUCUGGACUGCACAGGCACUGCAUUCAUAUAACAUACAUCCAUGCACUCAGGGCUGGGACUGCAGGCAAGUGCCAUGUGUCGCCUUGACCAGGACAUGGGAUGCUGGGGCUCAAAACCAAGAAUUCCUGCACAGCGGGCUGACGGCUGAGGCGGAAGGACGGUGAGCUCUAGGCCAGCCUGGACUACACAGUGAAGCCCAGCUUAAAAAAGAAAAAAACGGCCAGUGUCUUGGAGAAAACUGAGUUUCCAGCAGCUGGUACUCAUGUCCUUGUGACUCAGACAGCUUGGGCUCAUGAGCUCUACUCAGCUGACCUGUUGUAAUCGUCUGGGUAUAAAUUGUCUGAUGUUCUGAAUACGGCCAUGACACCAAGGAACCCCGCCUGAAAACUUCAGCUCAGACUUCAGACAACUGUGCUACAGCACGUACCAAUUUUACUGCACAUCUGACACAUUCUGUUCUUAUAGAAACAUAAUUGUUUAAUUAGAGAAAAUAAACGUUUUAAUAUUUUCCUACUAUCAUUCUUUAAUAUACAAGUACAAAUUAAUCUGUGUUUAAACUGUAUCAUGUUAGAACAUUUAUUUUUAAGUGAAUAUUUUCAAAUAAUAAAUAUUUUCAUUUUAAAAGGAAAAUUUUAAAAAUUAAAGGUGCUGAAUUGAACUG
ensembl:antisense Bcas3os1 breast carcinoma amplified sequence 3, opposite strand 1